rnacentral:ncRNA from 1 species
GGUUAAGAAAUUAAGCGUACACGGUGGAUGCCUAGGCAAUCAGAGGCGAUGAAGGACGUGUUAAUCUGCGAAAAGCGACGGUAAGCCGAUAAAAGGCGCUAUAACCGUUGAUGUCCGAAUGGGGAAACCCAGUGUAGGUGACUACACUAUCAUCUGAUGAAUCCAUAGUCAGAUGAGGCGAACCGGGAGAACUGAAACAUCUAAGUACCCCGAGGAAAAGAAAUCAACCGAGAUUCCCUAAGUAGCGGCGAGCGAAAGGGGAGUAGCCCAAGCGGG